rnacentral:piRNA from 1 species
UCGAAUGCUGCGAUGAAACAGCGCCCCCACC